rnacentral:rRNA from 1 species
AGAGCGAACGCUGGCGGCAGGCCUAACACAUGCAAGUCGAACGAACUCUUCGGAGUUAGUGGCGGACGGGUGAGUAACACGUGGGAACGUGCCUUUAGGUUCGGAAUAACUCAGGGAAACUUGUGCUAAUACCGAAUGUGCCCUUCGGGGGAAAGAUUUAUCGCCUUUAGAGCGGCCCGCGUCUGAUUAGCUUGUUGGUGGGGUAAUGGCCCACCAAGGCUACGAUCAGUAGCUGGUCUGAGAGGAUGACCAGCCACAUUGGGACUGAGACACGGCCCAAACUCCUACGGGAGGCAGCAGUGGGGAAUCUUGCGCAAUGGGCGAAAGCCUGACGCAGCCAUGCCGCGUGUAUGAUGAAGGUCUUAGGAUUGUAAAAUACUUUCACCGUGAAGAUAAUGACUGUAGCCGGAGAAGAAGCCCCGAUAACUUCGUGCCAGCAGCCG